rnacentral:rRNA from 1 species
GGAAUCUUCGGCAAUGGGGGCAACCCUGACCGAGCAACGCCGCGUGAGUGAAGAAGGUUUUCGGAUCGUAAAGCUCUGUUGUAAGAGAAGAACGUGUGUGAGAGUGGAAAGUUCACACAGUGACGGUAACUUACCAGAAAGCCACGGCUAACUACGUGCCAG